UACGUAGGAGGCAAGCGUUGUCCGGAAUUACUGGGUGUAAAGCGCGUGUAGGCGGCACGUUAAGUUUGUGGUGAAAGCGCCCGGCUCAACCGGGCAGGGUCCACAGAAACUGGCGGGCUGGAGGUCGGUAGAGGCGAGUGGAAUUCCCGGUGUAGUGGUGAAAUGCGUAGAGAUCGGGAGGAACACCAGUGGCGAAGGCGGCUCGCUGGGCCGGACCUGACGCUGAGACGCGAAGGCGUGGGAGCGAACGGG
rnacentral:rRNA from 1 species